AUGACCGGCGAUGAUAACUGCCAGUGUAGGAGUCACAGAUGAUGAAUAAUAGGUCUGGAACUCUGAGUUCCAA